ensembl:snRNA U6 U6 spliceosomal RNA
UUGCUUCAGCAGCACAUCUACUAAAAUCGGAACGAUACAGAAAAGAUUAGAUUAGCAUGGCCCCUGCCCAAGGAUGACAUGCAAAUCCAGGAAGCAUUCCACACAUUU